UGCUGCAUGACUGGCGGAAAGUAGAGUUACCUACAGGGAGUGCAGUGAAUAAGUUUGUGCCGACCGCCUGGGCAGCCU
rnacentral:ncRNA from 1 species